rnacentral:lncRNA from 1 species
CCUUUUCUUGAGCCGCUCCCACGGCAUAUGGAGGUUCCCAGGCUAGGGGUCGAAUCGGAGACAUAGCCACCGGCCUACGCCAGAGCCACAGCAACGCAGGAUCCGAGCCACGUCUUCGACCUAUACCACAGCUAACGGCAACACCAGAUCCUUAACCUGCUGAGUAAGGGCAGGGAUCGAACCUGCAACCUCAUGGUUUCUAGUUGGAUUCGUUAACCAUUGCACCACGACGGGAACUCCCUCAGCCAUAAUUUCUUCAAAUAUAUUUUCAAUCCCCUUUUCUUUUUCUUUUCUUUCUGAAACUCCUAUUAUGUAUAGAUUGGCCCACUUUAUACUAUCCCAUAGGUCUCUUAUAUUGCUUUCAUGUUUUUUCAUUUUCAUUUGGUUUUCUCUCUGCUGUCCUGAUUGAGUGAUUACCAUCGUUCUAUCUUCCACGAAACUAAUUUGUUCGUCUACAUUAUUCACUCUGCUCUUUAUUGCCUUUAGCUCAGUUUGUAUCUCUGCAAAUGAAUUUUAUAGUUUUUCUUGCCUCCUUAUAUUUUCCAGUUCCUUUCUAAAGGAAUCUGCAUCACUGUUCAUUCCUCUCUUAAUUCCUUCAGUAUUUUCACUGUCUCCCUUUUGAACUCAAAGUCUGUCAGACUGCAGAGGUCUGUUUCAUUGUUGACUGCUUUAGAUGAAUUCUGUUCCUUUAACUGGGAAUGGUUUCUGAGCUUCUUCAUCUUGCUUGUGUUUUUCUUUUUCUGUGGGUUCGGGGAAGCCAAACUGUAGUCUUGUAAGGCGACUUCUAUGCAAGAGUACCCCUUUGUAUUUUUUGGGGGGUUACUAUUUAUUUUUGCUGUGGGAGUUUGAAUAUUUGCUAUCNUCUUUCUUCGGUGUGAGAAGGCGGUUACCCCCAGGAUGCUCAGUGUGUUUUCAGGGAGAAGGAGGCAAUGGGUAGGGCCAGCAGUCAGUGCCUGGUCAUUGGGCUCUCGACAGCAGCAAGGACCUGCAGGAAGGUGGCACAGGCUACUCCUAGCUGCAGGGUCCUGGGAAGUGGUAACAAGCUCUAGGCAGAUCUUCAGGGUGACCAGAGCAUAUGGCAGUAGAAGCAGCAGGGUGCCUGAGUUCCCAGGAGAGUGAAAGCAACAACAGCUUGUGUUCGAUUGCAAUGCCCUGCUCUGAGGUGGUUGGAACCUCAGGUGGUGCCUGUUCAGGGACCCCACUUGGGAGUGGGCCAUGGCUGUCUCUAGAGUUGUGAUAACUGCGGUGGUUUGCCCUCGCCACCUGUAGACCAUGCUUGAAGCAACCCAUCUCAGCCCACAUAGAGGUGCUGCAUAGGCUGUUCCUAGUUUCAGGAUCCUGGGAAGGGACAGAGAUCAGGCAUGUGGGUACUGCGAGGAAUAUUUGGCAGUGGCAGCAGCAGGGCGGGUGUGUUCCCAGGGGUGUGAGAGCACUAACAGGUGGUGUUCGGUCACAGUGCCCUCCUCUGUGGUGCCCUUGAGGUGAAUGGGCCUGCAAGUGGUGUCUGUUCACCUACCUCUGGUGAUGGCGAGCCACUCCCACCUCUGGAGCUAGAGAUAACUGGUGAUUUGCCCCCACCUCCUGUAGAACAUGCCAGAAGCACCCCAUCCUGCUUAUCCCCCAGAGGAGGUGCUGCACAAGCUGCUCCUCACUGCAGGUUCCUUUGAAGAGACAGUGAUCAAGCGUCUGGGCACUGCCCAGAGCGUUUGGCAGUGGCAGCAGCAGGGCAGGUGUGCUUCUGAGGGAGCGACGGUAACUAUAGGUGGUGCUCCAUUGCCCUUCUCUGUUGUGCCCUCUGAGGUGGUUGGGGCUGCAAGUGAUUUUUUUUCAGGUAUUCCCAGUGGUGGUGGGCCAUGCCCACCUCUGGAAUCAGGGAUCACUGUGGCAGUUUGCCCCCAUCGUUUGCAGACCAUGCAAGAAGCACCCUGUCCCACUUAGCCCAUGCAGGAGGUGCUGCACCAGUUGCUCCUACUUGUAGGAUCUUGGGAAGGGACAGUGAUCAAGUGUCUGGGCACUGCCCAGAGCAUUCAGCAGUGGCAGCUGCAGGGCAGGUGUGUUCCCUGCGGAGUGAGAACAACAGCAUACGGUGCUUGAUUGCAGCGCCCUCUUUUUUUCUUUUUUGCCAACCCCUGAGGUGAUUGGGGUCGCAGGUGGAGCCCACUCACAGGCCCCUAGUGGUGGCAAGCCACGCCUCCCUCUGGCCUCUGAAACCAGUGUGUUCUGUCUUUGCCACCUGUAGAUCGUGCAAGAGGCACCCCGCUGCACUUAGACCCUGAUGCCCUUAGCCCACACAAGAAGUGCCUGGCCACCGGUAGCCUGCACAAAAAGCCCCCAAUCUCCCCUAAAUGAGCAAGAGGUUUCUUGCUGCCCAUAGCCUGCGCCAGAGCUGCUCUGCCCUCUGAGAGCCCAAGGGCAUGCACACACUCCGGUGCAGGGUUUCCUGUGGUGGUCUGCCCCUCCUCCUCUCACCCUCCCCAGCAAAGGUGCCUUGCCUCUCCUGUGGGUCCGGCCCUUUCCCUGGGUUCCCUCUGCCAUGGUGUUCCACUCCCUAACCGAUAGCAUAGUGCUCCCCCACCCAUGGCACACUGCUCCUUAGGCCCUUAGGCUGUCCCCACAUCCAGUCCUCUCCCCAGGACUGACCUCCGGAGCCUCAGUGCCCUGCCCCCCGCCUGAGCAUCUCAGGCUGUGUUGUCCGGUGUUUCAGAGGAUCUGUGAGGCUCUCACUCUGCUUUGCUAUGCUCAGUCCAGCUGCUGUGCUUUUUGCGAUGACUUUGAGGUCCCUCUGACUCCGCUGAUUUUUCCAUCAGGUGGCUUCUCAGGAUGCGGGUUCCUUUUCUCUUUCACGGCUCCCUCUCAGGAAUGCUAGUCCCAUCCUGAUUCCUUUUCUCUCUGUUUUU